AGGAGUUCCCAUUGUGGCUCAUCAGGUUACAAAUCCGACUAGUAUCCAUGAGGAUGCAGGUUCAAUCCCUGGCCCUGCUCAGUGGGUUAAGGAUCUGAUGUUGCAUUGAGCUGAGGUGUAGGUCACAGUUGUGGCUCAGAUCCCAUGUUGCUGUGGCUGUGGUGUAGGCCUACAGCAACAGCUCUGAUUCAACCCCUAGCAUGGAAACUUCCAUAUACCAGAGUUGCAGCCCUAAAAAAAAAAUAAAUAAACAAGUGAGCCCCAGUUUCCUAAUAUCUAUAGGACACCCUAAAAUUCUUUUGCUUGGCAUGCAAGAAAUUACUUUUCUUAUUUUUCUCCAUGAUCUGGCCACUUCCCCACCUUUCCUCAUUCCUGGGCAUUCCUGGUCUCACUCUGCCUGAGCUCAUUUUUGUCCUUCUUUGUGACUGAUGCCUCCUUGUCCUCAGAAUACCCUUCCUUAUCUUCUCCACCUAUUGGUUCUUCACAGCCUACCUCAAAUUUUUCUUCUUUUGUGAAAAUCUCCAUAAGGCAUUUACCUACUCAAUUCUCUUGCCUUUUUCAUACUGUUAUUAGAACAUACACCUCUGUUAACUAUAGCCCUUAAUUUAUUUAUGUGUGUCUCCCCAGAGAUAAUGCAUUUUUUAUAUCAGGUAAAAUUCUUACCUACUUUUCAGUCCUCAAUCCCUAACGUGCCUGGUACAUAAUAUACACUUAGUAGACAUAGAUUUGAACUGACAUGCUAACACAUACAUGUUUUAUCUAUAUGAAUUUGAUGUUUAUAAAAGUGCCCUUGCUUUGUGUCAUUUGAAUAAACAAGAAACAAAAAUAAUUGAUUGCAAUGGCUCUAGGAUUCAUUUUUAAAAAUCAUGUGGUUGAUGGUGGCACCUACUGGCAAAAUGGGAUAUUGCAUCCCAGAGCUAUUGUUUUCAUAAAAAUGGGGCCAAAGCCAAAGCUCCUGUGGGCUCAGAGUUAGUGGAGAAAAAAAUCAGUGACAACUAUGGAGUGGAGGAUCUCCAUCUGGGAAGGCUGUUUAGGGUUCUUUGAGUGCAGACAUCAACCCAAAGAACAUAUGCUGUUGUUUGUACAUCAUUCGUAGGGUAGAGAUCUAGUCUGGGUACCCAAGAUGCACCAGAUUGGAAGGUUCCAUUUUAGUCUGUUGGAAUAACUUUUCCUGGGAUUGUUUGUUAAGUCAAUAGAAAUCAGGAGUUGCUUUAAAUAUUUAUGAAGAGUUACCUUCCUUCCACUAGAUAUGAUUGAGCACUUGCUAUUGCAAGUGAUGGUCUACUUGGAAGUAUCAACUACACAGCAAGGAUCCACUAUAAAUAUUUAAUAUCCUUGCAUUUGUUAAUCAUGCCCUCCAUUUGUAGUGUAGCAUUUGGUUCUCCAUAAUAACUUAUCUGCUGUGGAUAGCUAAAUUUAGUUCUGUUUCUAUUCUACGCUUGUAGGGAAUCUAGGAACACACACACACACACACGUGCACAUAUAUGUGCAUGCGUGCGUGUGUGUGUGCGUGCGCGCGUGUAUUUAAAUCCAUAAGAAUUAGAAGGUGUUAUAUACUUUUCAUCUCACACUUCUCCUGUAAACCUAUUGAAGUGAAUCAAGUCAAUGAUUUUUCAUCAGAGAUGGUGACCACGGUGGACCCAGGAAGUCCCUCGCUGAGAUCAGGCUAGAACUUUCCAGAGCAAGGAAUUCAAAUGUCAAGUUUGAGCAGUCCCACAGACCCUCACACAGGCAUAGCUUCUUCUGUCACAGAGGUCCAGACUCAAUGGCCCUGAGAACAUGGGGCUGGUUAGGCAAGUCCACUCUCUCAUCUAUGUGUGAACCUGUCUAAUUUGGCAACCCUCUCUGCUUUAAUUCCUUAUCAAUGAAAUGGAGAUAAUAUGGCAUUCCUUGAGUUUUGUUUCCUGAGAGUGAAUGUGAUAAUGUAUUUAAAGCAGUUAUUUGGUAUAUUUGACACAUAUUAUAUGCUUAGUAAUCUUUAACCAUUAAUAUUUUUAACUUCAUGUAGACAGCCAAUGCUUUCCAUAGUUUCAGAUGCCUUAUGCCUAGGUGCUUUUAUUCCUUCUGCUGAGUUAAAUUCUCCCAACAUCUUUACAUGGACAAUGUGAAAUUUUGUUUAUGACCACAUCAUCUCUCUUCUAAAGCCAUCCUUGAUAUCCUUAGUGGAAACCAACUACCACCAUGUUUUUGUUACUGUUUUAAAUUUGUCUUCUCUAUAGCACAUAGUUUCACAAUCCCAGUUACCUCUCUUUUUUUUGCUUUUUAUUUUUUAAUUAAAGCAUAGUUGCUUUACAAUGUUGUGCCAAUUUCUGCUGUACAGUAAAAUGACCCAAUCAUAUAUAUACAUACAUACAUAUAUACAUAUAUAUGUAUGUGUGUAUAUGUACAUUCUUUUUCUCAUACUAUCUUCCAUCAUGUUCUAUCCCAAGGGAUUAGAUUGUUCCCUGUGCCAGUUAUCUCUUGAUGUGACCAUCUCAUGUGCUCAUUACUGAAAACAUAUCCAGGACCUGGACCGGGAACAUUCAUUGUUGGCUGCUAAUCCUGCCUUUCUCCUCCCCACCCAGCUCCGAGCAUCUCACGCCACAUCCCUGUUGCAUCCUGAGCAUCUGACAAGUGUUUAUUGAUGUGCUUGAAUUUUAUUAAGACACAAGGAAAGCAGAGAAACAAGCCAGGUCAGUUAGCCAGGCACUGAAGGUUUUACAAGAGUGAGAGAGAAAGAGAAGUUGGGUUUGGUUGUGAGACAAUAUGUGGGAUUUUUUCCAAGGAGCCUGAACCUAUGUGAAUAUCAGUGAAAGUUGGGGCUCUCAGCAGCUUUGCUCCCAGAUAAGCAGAUUAGAUCUCUAAGGGUCUGGCCCUUUGGGUGAAUCUGUUUGCCCGUGAAAAUAGCCUUUCCUAUCAGCUAGCUUCUGUGUAUGGCCUACAGGAGUGUCUUGUCUAUCAGUGUAUAGGGCAAGGAGGUGAGGUUGCUAGUUACUCAAUAGAGGGACCUCUCCCAGACACUUUGUGGAUUAGAUUGGAAUCUUGAAGCCAGAAUGCAGGCACAUGCUUCGAAAUGACUUGUGAUUAUUCAUUGACUUUACAUUGAAGUACGAAGGAAUCAGGAUACCACCAUUAGAUAACUUUUAUAAUGAAAUUGAAAGUGUAGCAUAACAAGGUAGUUAUGGAGUUGAGUAGACCUUGACUUAAAUACUAACCUGUAUGACCUAAUGGAAAAGUUAUUUUAAAACUUUGAGACCCUUUUUCUUUAACUACACAAAAUAAAUAGAAUGCAAUUACAGGGUUUUGACAUCAACUGAAUCAGUGUCAAACACUUGGCAUACAGUAGGCAUGCCACACUGUCAUUUAUAGGUACUCAGUAAAUUUGUAGGUACUCAAUAAAUGACAGCUGCAUUCUGAUUUUGGUAAUACUAAGAUGCUAAUUAAAAGGAUGUUGCAACAACCAAUGAAGCUCUAGAAUCAUGAUGCGAACCAGAAUGAAAGACUCCAAUGGAGCGGUGAUUUCUAGUCAUAGCUGUCAUCUGCUCCUGCAAUCCUGGCUCUUUCUUUGUCAGCUGUGGAAAAUGAAAAGACAUCUGCAAAUAAUUGUAUUUUUCAGAUUUCAGGGCUUUUCGUCCAUUGAAUAGCUGAUGCUUUAAUGAAGUUUUGACAGUUUCUCUUUAUCUACGGCAUAGGUAAAGUGGAAAAAAAACAACCUUCCCACUUUCUGACUUCGCAUGUUUGCAGUUGAAGUAAAGGGCAGAUCAUCCUGUUAUUCACUGCUGCCUUGCUCAGCCCUUACAAUGGAGGGCUUUGCAAUGCCUCCUUGAUGAGCUGCUCUUACACUUCACACUGCAGAUAAUGUCUGGGCAACAUAAGAAAGAAGUUCAUGGAAAGUUCAUUACACUCUAUUCUAGAGAUGUCUUUUUGAUAUUUAUUUUUUUCCAGAAUUUCUCCACCCAUCUAAUUUCUAUUCCUCCCAUUUCCCUUCUCAUCCCAUAUUCACAUCAGAGUAGACUAGGCUUGGUUCUCUGCAUUCAUUUCUUGGAAUGCAAAGAUUCUGUUAGGCUCAGACACAGAAUACCAAGUUGUGGUAUCAAGUUGUCUUUAGCAAUGAGUACACUUUCCAUUUUGACCUCUCAGCCAUUUGUACCAAUCACCAUUAAACCAUGGUACUAUCUACCUAUUUAUCUCUCAUCUAUCUUAUCAUCCAUCUCUCUAUAAUCUAGUUAUUAAUCUAUGCUAUCAUUCUAUCAUCUAUGGAUUUGUCAUAUAUCUAACUUUUUAUCUAUCAUUUAUCAAUUUAUCAUCUAUAAUCUGUUGUCCUUCUCUAUCAUCUGCCUGUAUAUCUUUUUGUGUAUCUAUAUACCUAUCAUCUAUCUAUCCAUCUAUUUAUCUCUUAUUUCUCUGUCUAUCCUUCUCUCUAAUUCACAAUUCUUUAAUUAUGUUCUUUCUUCACACCUGAGGCUGUGCUCUCUAUAUAGUAAGUUAUGAGGACAGUAACUUCUCCAUCCUUGUGUCCUGAAAAUCCAACACUAAAACAGGCCCCAGACAAUUUUUUAGAACAAAUUUUUACACAUAAGAUACAAAUUCAGUGCUUCUACGCUUAUUCUCUGGCUAGGUGCUAUUCAUUCAGAUAUCCAUAAUGUGCCUGGGGUUUUGUAGAUGCUAGCAGCGAGGGACCCAGAAGCAAGAAAGGGAAUAAUCUCACAGAUGCUGUCUUUACUGGACUUGAAUUAAGCUGGGUGCCAUGCUGUAGGAAUGCAGUUUGGAAGGACACUUUUCUCCUUGACAGCCUCAUUAGUUGAAGCAGGACUCCUCAAGACUGUGAGGAGUGGAGUUUCCAGAAGGCAGAUCUUCCACACUGGGGUUUCCUUCGAUUAGGAAGAACAUGCCUGAAUAUAAAUCACAGUCCUGCCGUGUGAUCAGUGCCACACAGGGUAGGUGAGGGUCAUCAUGGGAGCGUGGAAGCAGAUGCAUGCAUAAGGACAUUGUUUUCUAUAAGUUUUCAUUUGGCCCUAGGAGACCUCUAAGUAGGGCAGUGGUGACGUUGCUUGCUCUGUAGCUUUGAGCUGAUUAACCUUUUAGAAAAUCUUGAAUCCCAGGUAGUAGCUGCAUAGUAAAUGUUUUUAUUCUAAGGCAGAUACUCUGCAGGCAUUCUUAAACUUGAUCUCAGUAGAUUAUCACAGCUACCCUAGGUGAGCACUUUCAUUGCAUUUUCAGGCCAAGGAAAUGGAGGCACCAGUUGGUUACUUUCCCAAGAACAGUGUAGGGUGUGAGGUCUGGUCGGCUUGCCUUUUGUGCACCUGAUCUUUGACUCUGCAUCACCCAGCCCAUGCCAGAUAGCCCACGUAAGGAUCUUGGCUUUACAGAAAGACGUCCAGGUGAGGGGUUUGGAGGAAAGGUGUAGACACGGCAGUGUGGGGUUGGUUGCAGGCUUCAGGAGAGCAGGAAACGGCACAGGCAAUGGAGCCUGGAGGUGCUGGGGGCUCAGCCCCAAGACAAGAAGAACAUAACGAACAGAAGCCUUACUUCCUCUGUGGUUUUGUCUGAGAGAACAUCGGGUUUCGGGUUACCUGCCUGGCCACCUCCUGGCCACCGCACUUACUCUUGAUGCCCAGUGACUGUAGCAAAAUCACUGUGUUCUUCCGCAUUCAGGAGAACGACGAACGGUGAUGCUAUUUUACCAUCUUGUGCCUACACGAAAAGCCAGCAAAUGUUUUGACAUAAUUUCCGUUAAAGUUAACAGAAAUAUCGAGUGUAUGGAGCACGAUUUUUUCCCAUAAUGAUAUUGUCUUAGCAUGUAAAAUAUUAAGUGAAAAUAACAUUGCUUUUAAAUGCUUAAGUUCGCCGUGUUUAUGACUGGAAAUCAGUUAGCUUAGAUAGCUUGCCAUGUUAAGAAAAAACUCUGUAUGAUUUUGUCAAAAAAGGAAGAAUAUUCAUACAAAACAAACAAACAAACCCAGUAGGCUGCUUUCGAUUCUAACUGGCUUAAAAAUUUAAUACACGUCUUACAAUACAAAGUUUAUUGUGAUGUGACUGUUAAAAUUAUACAUUUUGAUCACCAUGCUUUUAAAGCUUUUAAGCAUAGGAUUUGUCAUCCUUCCGUUUCAAACAGUUGUUUGGGGAGAGAGAUUAAAUAUCAAAGGAUAAGUAAAUUAAGAAUUUGAAUAGUUGGUAUCUGUAGAUUAGAGUAAAAUUAUUCAAGACAUGUAAGCAUGAACUCAGAUUGUAAACCUUGAACGAAGCAUCUUUGAAGGAAAAUGACAAGCAUCCUGGAGUAGAACACUGUUUCUAUGUCUCUAUAGAUAAUUAAAACAAAUUGCUCAAUGGGAGGUUUUCACUGAAUCAGAAUAAAAAUAAUAACCUGAUAAAUCCUAAGACUGGACACUCAAUCUCCCUCAGAUACACACACACACACACACACACACACACACACACACACACACACACACACACAAUUUAUUUAAAUAAAUUAAAAUGAAUGCUGCAUUUAUUUUCAUUGAUAAAUAAAGCUUUGCUAUAUU
rnacentral:lncRNA from 1 species